CCUCCAGAGUUAGACAAAGGAAUAUCAGAGAUGUGCUUAGAAAGUAUUUCAAAUUACACAUUCAAAGAAUCUUAAACAAAAGUUGAGAAAGUUUGGUAUGUCCUUUCUCGAUAGGGAACAAGCUUUUUGCCUGGGAACCAAGUUACUAAGGUUAGGAUUUCAGAGUUUAUCCUUCAAAGGUAUUGCUCCUGAUACUUUUCAAGGGAAAAGCAAGAACAGGCCUAAUUAUACAGAACCCUUUGACUUCUCAGGAAGUUAGGAGCUCUUUAAGGAGAGGUCUGUGGGCCCCAGACAGGCCACGUCGAUUCCAUCUGUGUCCCCACUCUAUGACUCCUCCAGAGGGCUUUCUUACCUAUCGACACACAGAUGGAGAGCCGACAGCAUCCUAAAAGCCCGCCACUAUGCCAAAGCCAAUAUAACGGGGAUUGUAUGCAAGCUGCCCCUUCGGGGAAGAUGAACCCAGACAAGCAAUUUGAGGACUCUACGUUGCCCCACUUCCCCUCACCUUCCCAAGAAAAGAUCAAUAAAGUAUCAUUUGGCACUGGCUAAUUCUUUCAACCCAUCAGGUUGAAACUGGCCUGUCCUUUUAUAAAUGAGCUGCUCCCUUGACCGUAUUGUGAGAAACAGAGGGAGGCUUGAGUCAAUGGGAAUUUAGUGAAAUCCUGCAGACGCACACCUCUUCACACUUACCGCUGGUGGAAAGAAGCCAGAUGGCCAUUAAUUAAUGACAGAAAUAAUUUAGAUCAGUCACGAAUCCGAAAUAAACCAGGCAGCCACGCAGUUGUGAACCAGAAAUAAUCUAGAAACAAAAGAGUGGGCCUAAUGAAGAUGCUUGUGAAGUCCAGGUACUGAGUAUGGUGUUUUCCUGACUCCAACAGCUGAAUCCUCAUGGAAAGAAAACUUAACAGGGCUUCCCAGGUGGCUCACUGGUAAAGAAUCUGCCUGCCAAUGCAGGAGACACAAGCUUGAUCCCUGGAGGAGGGAAUGGCAACCCACUCCAGUAUUCUUGCCUAGGAAAUCCUGUGGACAGAGGAGCCCAGCAGGCUACAGUGCAUGAAGUGGAAAAGAGUCGUGCAUGACUUAGAAACUAAACAGCAAUAACAACAUUUUUGCUAUUGGCAAAAGGUGUUUAAAAUGCUCUUAAAAUCAGGCAUAAAACAUUGUUAUGUCUAUAAA
ensembl:lncRNA